GAGGAAGAAGAGGGAGAAGAGGAGGAUGAAGAGAAGAGAAACCAGACGCUGCUCCAACAGAAGUUGGUGACUGAGUCCCGGUUGUGACGGUGGGCGGGGCUUAGCCUGCUGAGCCGGCCUCUGAUUGGUGCACGGGGAUGAUUGCCACAGGCGGCCUACUGCGCCUGAACAGGAGACAAGACUCACUGAGAGGCAAAACGCACAAAACACACACACACAAGAAGAACAAGAAGAAGAGGCGGAGUGAGGUGGUGGUGGUCCAGGCGAGGCUGCAGCUCUGCUCGGUUUCUGGUCUUGUGGCAACCUUCGGCCUGCUGGUCCUGCUGCUUGGGGGUCUGAUGGCGGCGCUCGGCUACUGGCCGCGGGGAGGACUACAGGGGGGG